rnacentral:lncRNA from 1 species
AAAAUUUGCAUGAAUUUUCUCUAGGUUUCCGUCCUUAUUGUGCCUCUCAUUAAAUCCAUUUGGGAGUGUCUAAGAGAAAUCCAACCAAGAUCAUUCGGUGUUCCUUGCUUCCUUGUUUGGAUAUUUCCUUCGAUCUCUUGCGAGAGACCAAAUAUCUUCAUUGCCUUCGCUAGGAAUCAAAGUUUUGGUUAUCAGGAGCUGAGAACCUCCAGUAAUAUGGCCACUACUUUAGGUCCCAACUUAUCCAAGUAGGAGAUGUCCCAACUUUCUAGGGUUGUACUUUUAACCCACAACUCAAGCAAUGGCCCAUACUUUCCAGCCCCUACUUUCAUUUGACAUGUGGGUCCUGGUCAUUGUUAGGCCAAUUCUUUUUAAUUCCCCUCCCUUACCUUUUCUCCCUCCCCACACAGUUCUCUCCCUCCCCCACC